UACGGGGAACCUUUUUAUGCGAGAUUGCCCUUGAUUUGCACUAUGAGUUAUUAGCAUAAAAGUUCAUUCCUUGACCUGAGGACUUGUUUUUUUGUCAUUUCCUGGGUGAUGCAUUUGCCUUUGCAGUUAUAUCAUUUUCCAACUGAUAAAAUUUUUUAAAAAAUAACAUGAUAUGAGUUUUGGUCAGUACGAAAUUUGGCAUGAUUUGAGGGAAUGCCCCAUUUCCUUCGGGGUGAAUUUGUCUUAUUUUUUUGUAGUUUCUAAUUCAGAUGCAUCAUUGACAAUAAGAUGAAGCUCAAGACCAAUGAAGAGAAUUUCUAGGAAAGACACCCAGAGAGGCUUCAAAGAUUGGGCAUGUCACUAAUUCCAAGACCAGUCCUUUAUUGCUAAAAACCAUUUGUGUUUUUGAGUCAAUGUUACCUCUUUUUGUGGAAUAGGUAAACUUGGUUUAAUUUAGUAGCAAUCCAUGACUUGUCAAGAAUUGGCAUUUUGUGACCAAACCUUCAACCUUAUGUCAACUAGCAUGCAGUUGCACGUUUAGUUGUCAAACCCUAGACAUGAACUAAAGAUUAGUUUCUAGUGUUUUGGUUCAACACUCCUACUGAUAGUAAACUUAAACAAGAAAUCAUUCAUCGUCAACCAGCUUUUUCUUGGGGUUUAUAUGGUGCAGUGGGCUAUAAAAUUUUGACUUUAAGAAGGGCUAGGCUCAUCAACCAUGAUUUGGUGCUUCCAAAUUCUGCAUCAGCUUCUUUGUACUCUGACAUAAUUUUGCUAGUCUGUUGGAAUAGGAUUGUGAUUUGAACACCUUUUCUCAGAAAAUAAUGAAGAAAGAAAGGUCACACUUGUUCUGCUUCAUUCCUAGAAGUUUCAAGAAAAGAAUGAGAAGAUUACAGUUGAAGAAUGUUAUUGAUAUCAGAAUUUUAACUGUUAUGCUUCAUCUUCCCCCCACUAUAUGUUAGUUUUGUCAUGUUUACACAUUCUGAUUUUCCCUUUUUAUGUUGCUGUUGGUGUUAUCCAAUUGGCACAGGAGGUGCUAACGUUGUCCUUUUUUUGUUCAGCCUUAUUUAGUUAGCAGAGCCUUGGAGUGCUAGGGGAAUGGACUUGAUGUUUUUGUCUUCUGUCAGCGCAUAUGAAUGAUGUUCAGGGGGCAAAAAGGUCCCAAUGCUCUUAAUAUAUUCAAAUGGAAAUGGCAAAAUGAAUCAUCCUUAGAAGCAGGAUUGCUUAAUGAUGUACCACCCGAAAUUGAAUUGUCUGACUACCACAGAGCACCAAGUCCUGGGAGUGAAAGCCCUUCGGGGCUUCUUAAUGGUGAUAGCUCAAGUGUUGAACCAAUUGCUGACUUGGACCUGUUCUUUGAGAGGGUUUAUAAUUACUAUUGUGAAAAAGGGCUUUGGUGUAUUAUAAUAAAGUGGAUAUUUGAGCUUCUGAGUCUUGCUUUCACCAUAUGCUUUUCUGGAUUUUUUUUACUGUAUGUUGAUUGGAAUGGCCUUCGAAAUGCAAAAUGUGGGAUGGAUGCAGUGGAAUCUGGAAUUAAGCCAUGCGAUCUGGCCAAGGAAGCCCUUCAUCAGCAUCCCUUGACGCCUUUUACGUUGGCAAAAGCUAUAAUUGUUGGUUAUUUGGGAAUAUUCUCUAUCUACUGGAUCUUUUGUUUCUUGAAAUUCUUUGCACAGUUGAAGGACACCCUGAAAAUCCGUCAUUUCUACUACAACAGGUACAUAAAAUUGUUUUACGUAAGAAUAUAGUUUUUCCAAUGUGAAGCAGUUUAUUUUUGGGGUUACAUCUAAUUUCUAUUACUUAAUGGUAAGAGACCUUUUCUAGUACAAUGUGGAUUCUUGAAAAAUUCUUUUGCAUCUCUUUUGCAGUUUGAAUGUGACGGAUAAUGAAAUAAAAACCUUGCCAUGGGCAUUGAUUCUUGAAAAGGUUGUUCAGAUCCAAAGGUCACAACAGUUAUGUGUAGUUAAGGACCUUUCUAUACAUGAUGUUGUAAUGCGACUGAUGCGGAAGGAGAACUACUUGAUUGGCAUGCUUAACAAGGGUGUGCUUGCUCUUCCUAUUUCUCCUUGGGUGCCUGGAGCUGGUCCAACUGUGAAAUUUGGUCCAAAUGGUGUGCGAUAUCGGUUGAUUCUAACAAAAACCCUUGAGUGGACCUUAAAUUGGUGUGUGCUGCAAAGCAUGUUUGAUCGGUAGUUCCCAUUACCUCUUUUCUUUUUCUUUUUUUUCCUUUUACCAAAAACUACUCAUAAGAUUUCAGAGUUCACAAGUAGGUUGAGCCUUCUGUUGAGCAUGCCAUUCAGUUUCCAUAUCUGAAUUUGAUUACAUGUUAUUAGGAUCGAUACUGUUGCAUCUUUAGUUCAACGAAUAUGCUGAAACAUUGACUGCUUUCAUGGUAGAUGAGAUCAUUAGUUGAUCAUACAUUCACUAUAAAUGCAAAGCAGAGUUUAUAGGUGCUACUGUAGGGACAAAACAUUCACAAAAUAUUAUUGUUUGUAACGUGUAUUGCUUUUUGAUACUUGUCAGCCAAGGCUGGAGCAUCUGCACAGGUUUGCAGCUUGUGUAAAGAAUGACGUCCUAUUAAUGACUAAGACAAAGCUCUUUAAUUGGCAUUUAUGACUGAAGUCACUGAUUGCACUGGAAAUUGAUACCUCUUAUGCUUUUCAAUGCUCUAAAUUUCAUUCCUCAGUUAACUUUUUGCAUCUUUAAUAACUGCAUUCUGAGUGGCAGCUCACAUGUUUUAUUUAUUGUUUACUUUUCGCUUACAUGUUUCUUAAUAUGAUGUAAGAGUAGUUUGUGGAAAGUUGCAAAAAAGUCUCUAUGUUGCUGAAGUUGACUAUGUUUUCUGAGCAAGAUAUCAUUUCUCUGCAGAAACUUCCGCAUCCGAAGGGAAUUUAUUUCUGACCCUAAAACAUUAAAGAAAAGGCUUAUGAUAGUUGGUUUUGUAAUGCUUCUCCUUUCUCCAUUUCUUGUAAUAUUCAUGCUGGUCUACCUCUUCCUGAGGCAUGCUGAACAGUUCUAUAAUCAUCCAAGUACAGCAUCAUCCCGAAGAUGGUCAAAUCUCUCAAAGUGGAUAUUUAGGGAAUUCAAUGAGGUAUUUUUUUGACAUCAUUUAAACGUCUUUUUUUAACCAUCUUAAGUAAUAGACUGUUAUCUUUCUUUUAUUUCUCUGGUUGCUGUUCUACUUUUGUUUCUAAACUUCUUAGUGUUGAAAGGGUUAGAGUGGAUAAAGAAUGACUGUAGUUGUUUCUUUUAGGCAAAAACCUUUUGGCGUUUGUGCCAGCACUUGGGAUAUUUUUGUAUACAGAGCCUCUGGCACUUUCUUAAAAGCUACAAGCAAUUGGGGAUAGUCUCUUUUAGGACAUCAGCUUUUCUUUAGAGGAUGUAAAGUUAUGGGAAAUUGAGCUUAUUUAUCAUAGAAAACUGUUUCUAGGGAGCAUUGUACCAUGAGGUGGAUGCUUGAUGCAGCACCAACCUGCUGGCAAGCCAACUGGUUAUUUAGAAAUGAUUCUUAAGGAUUAGAAUGCAGAGAAACUUAGGUAGCAAAGUGGGACUGGGAGAUCAGGAAAAAGGAAGAGGAAACUCUAGGAAUUAUUCCUAAGAACCUUUAGGCAGUGCAGCUUAGGGUAGAUUGCAUGACACAAUGACCAAGAAGACACUGAAAUCUGCAAGAUGUAUUAUCAACUCAAAUCUGUCUCAUUCGGGAGACAUGCUAGUAUGUAUAGGCUCCUAAACCUGUUUUUUACUUUUGGUAGAACUUACCUCUUUCCAAAUAAUGUUGGCCUUUUUAAAACUAAUAAUACCCUGAUAGGAUUCUUAUUUCGACUCUAAAUCAAGACAUUAGAUGUAGUAAAUACAAAAGUCAUAUUAAAUUCUGCAAAACUGCAAAUUGACCUAAAUGAUGUCAUUUUAAAAUUUGAAAGACUAGAAACCAUAUGAACUCUUCUACAAUUUUAUUAGUGAAGUACUCUUAGGGCAUUCCUGCUUCCAAACCAACAUUGUGUGUUCCAGUACUUGCCAAAAUAAUGUGCUCAUGGGAUAUAAAAAACCUUGCUUAGCUCUUAGGCAAAUUACUGCUUUCUCCUCCCCACCACCACCCCCCCCCCUCCUCGAAAAAAAAAAGUUACUUGUCUCGACUUAUGAAGCAAUUACUGUUUAAAAGUGUGGCUCCCCCCCCCCCCCCCUCUUUUCAAUAUCCUUUUGCCGAAUAUGCUAUCCUUUGAGUUUUCUGUUAAGUAUAAGUUCCACAGGAAAAGGUCUUUCUUUAUAGAUUAAGUAGUUGACAAGGUGAUGAAUAAAACCCGUUCACUAGUUUUUUUCUUUUUCAUUUGUUUCUUCUUCUUUUUCUCCUUUUUUCUUAUUUUUUCUGCUGGUUGUUCUCUUCAAGUUUUAUUCCCUCCCUUGCCUCACUUUUCCUCCUUUCCUUGCCCUAAGCAGCAUAGUGGUGAAUCUUCCCUGCCCUGUUACAUUAAUAUGAAUUUGAACUGAAAACUCUAAUAAAGUACCUUUUGGGGUAAAAGAAAAUUUUCAAACAGUUGGUGAGUCUGCAUGCUUAAUCACAUUGGAUAACUUCUAGUUCCUCCCCUCUCAAUGCUUCAUCAACAGCAUCGAUUCUGACGCCAAAUUUUGCAUAAUAUGCAUGGGCUAAUAUCCCAGGUCAACUAGUGGUUAAGGCUUCUUGUUUUGGCUUGAAUUCAAAUCUUGAUCUUCUUUUACGUUUCUGUUUAUCAGUUGAAUGUUUCUUCGCACACCUCCCUGGUACUAAUUCCCAAAAAUCAUGUUUAUGUUUAGCUAACUGUUUUGAUGGAUGUUAAGUUGCUUUGCAUUGGGUCAAAGUUCAAUUGAAUCAGAUCAGCAUUUUUUUCAUCGUUUUUAUUUUUGACAAAAAAUAGUUCACAUUGGAAACAUAAGAUAUAUUGCAUCUCUCUCUCUCUCUCUGUCUCUAUAUAUAUAUAUAUAUAUAUAUAUAUAUAUAUAUAUGCAUAUAUAUCCCUCUGCCUCCCUCUCUAAAUUGUCACGUAAUAUAUUUUUGGUUCUUUGUAUAAUAAUUUUUUCUUAUUCCCCAUGUUAUUAUUCCCACAUCACUUUAUCACAGAUUUGAUCUCAAGGUGUAUGCAAUGACUUGUAUUCUUUGUUUAUGGUCAUGGACACUCUGAACCACCUCUCCUAAGUCUUGCUUGUUUCUUAUAAAUUUUGAUUUAUCUCAGAUAUUUUUGUAUAGCGUAUUCAUGGUUAUUUGGAUCAUGUUGUGGAUUUUUUUUUGACAGGUUGAUCAUUUCUUCAGGCACCGGAUAAAUACCAGUAUUCUUCACGCUUCUGGAUAUCUAAAGCAAUUUCCAUCACCUAUGAUAUCAAUUGUUGCAAAGUUUAUCUCACUUGUUUCUGGUGGAUUUGCUGCUAUUCUCAUCAUCGUUGCGUUUCUCGAAGAAUCUCUGCUGGAAGGCCAUGUAAGGUCUUGUGCUUGUUGGAACAACUGUUUUACUGAUACUCUUCUGUUAAUGAUAGUUUAUUUAAAUGUGCAGAUAUUUGGUCGCAACUUGUUCUGGUAUGCUGCAGUUUUUGGUACUAUAACAGCUAUUAGCCGUGCUAUGGUGACAGAUGAACUUCUUGUCCUCGACCCUCAGGGGAUGAUGUCACUUGUUGUCCAACAUACACAUUAUAUGCCUAAGCGAUGGCGGGGAAAAGAGAAUACUGAGGCUGUGAGGAUGGAGUUUGAAACCCUAUUUCAGGUAUUCUUGAUUGUGCCUGUUGUACUUGAUAUAAGAGUCAAUUUAAAACUCCAGUCAUUCUAAGAUUAGACAUGUCAACUAAUUCAACUUUUAUGAGUUGGUUAGCGAGCUUGCUUGGUCUAGUUUCCCCUAAAUGUGAUGCUUUUAAGCCAUUGAUUGUAUGCUUUUCUAGAAACACUUUUACCUGCAUUAAUCAGCGGUUUGAUGAACGAUGUAGAUGUAAAGUGCUUAUGUAUUUCUAUUAACAUUUUCUAAAUGGACCAAUGAAAUUGCUUGUGCAGUACACAGGAAUGAUGCUGCUAGAGGAGAUGGCUUCGAUCUUUCUCACACCAUACUUACUUCUAUUUGUUGUCCCAAAGGUUUUAUUUUUAAGUUUUCAUAGUUAUAAUUUCAAUCAGCUACAUUGACUGCGAAAUGCUAUCGACGGCUAAGAUUUUUUAUUGAAUUCGAAAAUGCUAUUUUUGCAGCGGGUCGAUGAUGUUUUGCAGUUCAUUGUAGAUUUCACCGUGGAUGUAGAAGGUGUUGGUCAUGUUUGCAGGCUAGUGUCUUAACUUUAACCAUUACUUCUGAUACUUUUGUUCAGUAAAUUAGUUUGAAGAUUGCUUUAGUAUCCAAUUUUGCCUUUUUCUAUCAAACUGAAAUUUUCAGCACUUAAUUUCCUGGCAGCUUUAGUGUCUUUGAUUUUCAAAGUCAUGGCAACUCUAGAUAUGGUUCACCCUUUAAUGCACCUCGCCUCCAGAGGAGUUCCCAGGGAAAAAUGGAAAAAUCAUUCUUGAGGUAAUAGAAUAACCAUUCUGAUAAUGAACUUCUAUGUAAUAAUUGGGGUAUGUUUGCCAUUAUCUUCUGCAUAAUCAUCUUUUGGUUUAAAAUGUUUUUAUCUUUUCCAUAAUUAUCUGUUGGGUCUAGCUGGUUUUGAUU
rnacentral:lncRNA from 1 species